UUGCGGUUAAAAAGCUCGUAGUUGGAUUUCUGUUGAGGACGGCCGGUCCGCACUAUGUGCGUGUAUCUGGUUCGGCCUUGGCAUCCUCUUGAGGAACGUUCCUGCGCUUGAUUGCGUGGGGCGGUAUUCAAGACUUUUACUUUGAGGAAAUUAGAGUGUUCACGGCAGGCAAGCGCCUUGAAUACAUUAGCAUGGAAUAAUAAUAUAGGAUCUUGGUUCUAUUUGUUGGUUUCUAGGGCUAAGGUAAUGAUUAAUAGGGAUAAUUGGGGGCUUUGUAUUAACGCGUCAGAGGUGGAAUUCUUGGAUUGCGUUACGACAAACUACUGCGAAAGCAUUUGCCAAGGAUGUUUUCAUCGAUCAAGAACGAAAGUAUGGGGAUCGAAGAUGAUUAGAUACCGUCGUAGUCUAUACCAUAAACUAUGCCCGAC
rnacentral:rRNA from 1 species